rnacentral:rRNA from 1 species
GAUGAACGCUGGCGGCGUGCCUCAAACAUGCAAGUCGAGCGAGGCUAUGAAUUACCGCAAGGUAAGGCAUAGCCUAGCGGCGAACGGGUGAGUAACACGUGGGUAACCUACCUGGAAGACAGGGAUAACGAUUCGAAAGGGUCGCUAAUACCUGAUAAUAUCCGUCUGCCGGAUGGGCGGAGGGAAGAAAGGGGAAACCCGCUUUCAGAUGGGCCCGCGUCCCAUCAGCUAGUUGGUAAGGUAAAGGCUUACCAAGGCGACGACGGGUAGCCGGUCUGAGAGGAUGUACGGCCACACUGGGACUGAGAUACGGCCCAGACUCCUACGGGAGGCAGCAGUUGGGAAUCUUAGGCAAUGGACGAAGUCUGACCUAGCGACGCCGCGUGAGGGAAGAAGGCCUUCGGGUUGUAAACCUCUUUUCUGGGGUACGAGGAAGGACUGUACCCCAGGAAUAAGUCUCGGCUAACUACGUG